rnacentral:miRNA from 1 species
GGAGAAUCGCUUGAACCUGGGAGGUGGAGGUUGCAGUGAGCUGAGAUCACGCCACUGCACUCCAGCCUGGGCAACAGAG